rnacentral:rRNA from 1 species
AGAGUUUGAUCCUGGCUCAGGACGAACGCUGGCGGCGUGCUUAACACAUGCAAGUGGAGCGACGAACCAGGCUUCGGCCUGGGGCAAAGCCGCGAACGGGUGAGUAACACGUGGGUAACCUGCCCCGAUGAUUGGGACAACCCGAGGAAACUCGGGCUAAUACCGAAUGUGCCCUCCGACCACAAGGUCGCUGGGGAAAG